UACAGAGGUCCCAAGCGUUGUUCGGAUUCACUGGGCGUAAAGGGUGCGCAGGUGGUCGGGUAAGUCUGACGUGAAAUCCCGCAGCUUAACUGCGGAAUGGCAUUGGAUACUAUUCGGCUAGAGGGUUGGAGGGGGGACUGGAAUUCUCGGUGUAGCAGUGAAAUGCGUAGAUAUCGAGAGGAACACCAGUGGCGAAGGCGAGUCCCUGGACAACUCCUGACGCUGAGGCACGAAAGCUAGGGGAGC
rnacentral:rRNA from 1 species